rnacentral:rRNA from 1 species
AUUGAACGCUGGCGGCAUGCUUUACACAUGCAAGUCGAACGGUAACAGGCCGCAAGGUGCUGACGAGUGGCGAACGGGUGAGUAAUGCAUCGGAACGUGCCCAGUCGUGGGGGAUAACGCAGCGAAAGCUGUGCUAAUACCGCAUACGAUCUAUGGAUGAAAGCGGGGGACCGUAAGGCCUCGGCAGAUUGGAGCGGCCGAUGUCAGAUUAGGUAGUUGGUGGGGUAAAGGCCUACCAAGCCGCCGAUCUGUAGCUGGUCUGAGAGGACGACCAGCCACACUGGGACUGAGACACGGCCCAGACUCCUACGGGAGGCAGCAGUGGGGAAUUUUGGACAAUGGGCGCAAGCCUGAUCCAGCAAUGCCGCGUGCAGGAAGAAGGCCUUCGGGUUGUAAACUGCUUUUGUACGGAACGAAACGGUCUGGGUUAAUACCCUGGGCUAAUGACGGUACCGUAAGAAUAAGCACCGGCUAACUACGUGCCAGCAGCCGCAGUAAGAC